UGCAGUCGAACGGGAUUAGAGAGCUUGCUCUCUAUGAAAGUGGCGCACGGGUGCGUAACGCGUAUGCAACCUACCUUAAUCAGGGGGAUAGCCCGAAGAAAUUCGGAUUAAGACCGCAUAAAAACACAGCACAGCAUUGUGCAAUGUUCAAAUAUUUAUAGGAUUAAGAUGGGCAUGCGUGUCAUUAGCUAGUUGGCGGGGUAACGGCCCACCAGGGCGACGAUGACUAGGGGAUCUGAGAGGAUGACCCCCCACACUGGUACUGAGACACGGACCAGACUCCUACGGGAGGCAGCAGUAAGGAAUAUUGGUCAAUGGAGGGAACUCUGAACCAGCCAUGCCGCGUGCAGGAAGACAGCCCUCUGGGUCGUAAACUGCUUUUAUUCGGGAAUAAACCUUAUUACGUGUAAUAAGCUGAAUGUACCGAAGGAAUAAGGAUCGGCUAACUCCGUGCCAGCAGCCGCGGUAAUACGGAGGAU
rnacentral:rRNA from 1 species